rnacentral:rRNA from 1 species
UCCUACGGGGGGCAGCAGUGAGGAAUAUUGGUCAAUGGUCGGGAGACUGAACCAGCCAAGCCGCGUGAGGGAUGAAGGUACAGAGUAUCGUAAACCUCUUUUGUCAGGGAACAAAGGCGGGGACGUGUCCCCGGAUGAGUGUACCUGAAGAAAAAGCAUCGGCUAACUCCGUGCCAGCAGCCGCGGUAAUACGGAGGAUGCGAGCGUUAUCCGGAUUUAUUGGGUUUAAAGGGUGCGCAGGCGGUCUGUUAAGUCAGCGGUCAAAGCCCGGGGCUCAACCCCGGCCCGCCGGUGAACAUGGCAGU